AUUGAACGCUGGCGGCAUGCCUUACACAUGCAAGUCGAACGGUAACAGGUCUUCGGAUGCUGACGAGUGGCGAACGGGUGAGUAAUACAUCGGAACGUGCCCGAUCGUGAGGGAUAACGAGGCGAAAGCUUUGCUAAUACCGCAUACGAUCUACGGAUGAAAGCGGGGGAUCUUCGGACCUCGCGCGGACGGAGCGGGCGAUGGCAGAUUAGGUAGUUGGUGGGAUAAAAGCUUACCAAGCCGACGAUCUGUAGCUGGUCUGAGAGGAUGAUCAGCCACACUGGGACUGAGACACGGCCCAGACUCCUACGGGAGGCAGCAGUGGGGAAUUUUGGACAAUGGGCGAAAGCCUGAUCCAGCCAUGCCGCGUGCAGGAUGAAGGCCUUUGGGUUGUAAACUGCUUUUGUACGGAACGAAAAGCCUCUUUCUAAUAAAGAGGGGUCAUGACGGUACCGUAAGAAUAAGCACCGGCUAACUACGUG
rnacentral:rRNA from 1 species